rnacentral:rRNA from 1 species
UACGUAGGGUGCGAGCGUUGUCCGGAAUUAUUGGGCGUAAAGAGCUCGUAGGCGGCCUGUUGCGUCGGUUGUGAAAGCCCGGGGCUUAACCCCGAGCCUGCAGUGGAUACGGGCAGACUAGAGGUAGGUAGGGGAGAAUGGAAUUCCCGGUGUAGCGGUGAAAUGCGCAGAUAUCGGGAGGAACACCGGUGGCGAAGGCGGUUCUCUGGGCCUUACCUGACGCUGAGGAGCGAAAGCGUGGGGAGCGAACAGG